rnacentral:lncRNA from 1 species
AGGUCAGCCACCUGCAGCCAAGGAGAGAGGCCUCUGAGGAAACCAACCCUGCCAGCACUUUGAUCUUGAACUUCCAGCCUCCAGAACUGUGAGAAAGUAUAUUCCUGUUGUUUAAGCCACCCAGUCUAUGGCAUUUUGUUUUGGCAGCUUUAGCAGACUAAUAUACUUCCCCAUUCCCCCACAGUGCUUCCUGGGGUCAAUUCUCAGAUAAAUGAUUUGCACUUUAAUCCUUAUCUCAGGGGCCAGGUGGGAGGGGGCUCACGCCUGUAAUCCCAGCACUUUGGGAAGCCGAGGUGGGCAGAUCACCUGAGGUCAGGAGUUCAAGAGCAGCCUGACCAACAUAGUGAAACAUCGUCUCCACUAACUUUACAAAAUGUAGCUGGGUGGGGCGGCACAUUGCUGUAGUCCCAGCUACUCAGGAGGCUGAGGCAGGAGAAUCCCUUGAACCCGGGAGGUGGAGGUUGCAGUGAACUGAGAUCGUGCCACUGCACUACAGCCUGGGUGACAGAGUGACUUCGUCUAAAAAAAAAAAAAUUAUCUCAGGAAACCAACUCGCAGACCAACAACGCAUAUAUGGUGGGACAUAGACCCCAAGUAAGAGUGAAGCGAAGACUCAACUUUAACCACCACCCUCUAAGUUUCUUUUGAGGAGCUUGGAGAACGUCACUCCCUGUGGGUCUAAGUGGUACAGGCGCUAAAAAAUUAUUUAGGCAGAUAGUGAGGGUAAGGAAGUCCUCGGCUGUUUCCCUUUUAACAAAAAGCAGUCCCUAAAUCAUUUAUUUUCUAACAAAGAGCAGCCUGUAAAAUCGAGCUGCAGACAUAGAUAAGCAAGCUGGAAGCUUGCAUGGGUGAAUGCAGCAGCUGUGCCAAUAGGAAAAGGCUACGUGGCGGCCAGGCAUGUUCAACAUGGCGGCUCCAUCUUCCCUUUUCUUUGUCAACUAGGUGUACAGUAAGGAACCGACAACAUCACACCGGCCAGGUAGAGAAGCCAUUUGCAUAAUAGAAGAUUAGGGUGGGGUGGCCAGCUUCUUUGCGCGCUUUGUAAACAUCACACCUAGUCCACCAAUCUUUGGGCCCUAUGUAAAUUAGACAACACCUCCUCAAGCCAGUCUAUAAACCCUCCCCUCCCCGCACAUGCAUUUCACCGCAAAACCCAAAGACCCACUUAGGUGUCCCCUCUCUCCGCAGAAGAGAGAGCUUUUCCCUUUCUCUCUGUUAAACCUCUUCUCUUAAACUCACUUCUUGCGUGUCCUCGUCCUCGAUUUCCUUGGCGUAAGACGACGAACCUCAGGCAUUUACCCCAGACAACGAAGGUGCUUCAUAAGGUCAUGCAGCUGGGUCAACAUAGGACUGUGUAGCCAAGAGCUACAGGAUGGAUUGCUGAGGCCAGGGAGAUUGAAAGGAAGUCACAGCCCAAUCUCAGAGGGAUCCACGGAGCCAGCGAAAGCUAAGGCGGGACUUACCCAACAGAGGGUCCUGGCCCAGUCACCCAGUGGCACAACCCAACUGGGAGAUCUGAGCAUCUACCAACUGUGGCCACCAGUGAGAUGGUGUCAUUGUCUGGGAGGCCAGCAGAAGUCUCAGUGAUCGGGCAGGACAAAGGACAUUUCUGCAGAGAAUACUGAAGGUCCAGGAGACAGCACAGUGGGACAUAUGUGGGCCCCUGCCCCAUCAUUAGGAGGAAGUGUAGGCUUUUCUGAGGACCUGGAUGCCAUACCAUCUUGAGACAGAGAAUGAGGAACCAACCCUUGACAAGAGAGAGAUGGCCCUGGUAGAGAAUUUGAACCUUGAAUUGGAUUGAAUAUUUAUCCAAAAGAAAUUGAACCAGCACUAGAGAGACUGUUUUGAACUAGAAGUAACCAAGUUACCUUAACUGGAAGUUAGGAUUUUUCCACCCCUGACAUCAGUGGGACAAGGGCACAUGAGCAAGAUAUUUACGGACAAAGAAGAACGUUCAUGUUUUGUACACCUGCUUUGUAGUAUGUUGCAGAUACCGUUGGUUCCCCUGAUUUCAGGUGUUCUCGUUCUUUCUGUACAGUCACUUGCUCAGGGCAAAUGGUCCUCUCCUGCAUGACUCAGAAGCACAUACUGAUUAUUCUAAACUGGUCUUCAUGCCCCGUUCCCUUGUCAGUGAUGUAGUUAGGCAAAGGAUUAUGUAACAAUUCUGGCUAUGAGACAUUGAAACUUCUACUGUGGGGCAUCUGGGAAGAUUUUUCUCAUUGAAAAGAAGAGACGCAGGGUGUGGAGACUCAUGCCUGUAAUCCGAGCCCUUGGGAGGCCCAGGAGGGAGGGUCACCUGAGUCCAAGAGCUCAAGGCCAGUUCGAGCAACAUACCAAGGCUGCAAUAAACAAGCAAACAAACAAACAAACAUUAGCUGGGCACGGUAGUGCACACCUGUAGUCCCAGCUACUCAGGAGGCUGAAAUGGGAGGAUUGCUUGAGCCCAGGAGUUUGAGGCUGCAGUGAGCUAUGAUUGCACCACUGCACUUCAGCCUGGGCAACAGAGCGAGAUCCUGUCUCUAUAAAAAAAUUUUAAAAAAAGGAAGAAAAGAAAAGAAGAGACACACGUGGAAGAAACAGUCUCUAUUCUGAUGCAAGUAAUGACUGGAACUGUGGCAGACAGCUUGGAACCAUGAGAGGAGUUAACUGAGGGCUAUCAGGGAAACUAGAAGAAGCCUGGGUCCUUGAGGAGGCAGACUACUAAAUGGACCAUCGUCCCUUCACCCUUUUUGUUAUGUGAGAUAAUAAACUCUCUAAUUUAAAUCUACUUGAGAUGAAUAUCUGAUACUUGUAGCCAAAAUCAUCCUUAAUGGGACAGAGUGUGGGUAAAUUAUCAACCUUGCUAGCCUUGCCUCAUAAUUUUUGAAUUUAUUUUUAUCUUUUAAUUUUGUUUAUUUUUUAUUUUUAAAGUAGAGACAGGAUCUCAUUAUGUUGCUCAGGCUGGUCUCGAAUCCCUGGCCUCAAGGGAUCCUCCUGCCUCAGCCUCCUAAAGUGCUGAGAUUACAGGUAUGAGCCCCUAUGCCAGGCCAUUGCUUUGCCAUUGUAUCCAUGUGAUUGCAAAAAAGAAAAUCGUGCUAAUAGUCAUUAGCUUUGAAAGACACUUGGAAUUUCUUCCUUCAAGCGAGCUUUAUUCCCAAACUGUUGAACCCUCUGGGUUUGACAGCAGGAUCUACUUCACAUGGUAGCAUCUCCUUCUAUUUGCCUUCAAGACAUUUCCUAAGGGAAGAGAUGAAGACACACUUGUAACGUGAACAAAAUAAUCCUUUUUCCUUUUAAAAAUGUAUGAUUAAAAUGUAAAAUAUAUAUAUAUAUUCUUAAAUGUAAAAUAUAUAUAUAUAUCUUCUAGAGUUGCCUGGAAAGUGAGCUGAGAGCAGUUAAACAUCAAACCCACUGCUGCUUUCCAGCUUUAACCAGAAUCACCAUUGUCUUUCCCUAUGAAAGAAAGGAAAUCUUAGAACUUAAAAGGAUUUCAAGAAGAACUGAAUUUUAACCACUGAGAUGACCAGAGAUGUAAGGCUCACACUGACUGAAGCAGUAUAAUUUGGCUGUCUUUUUAACAUUCAGAAUUCUCUCUGACUCUCCAAAAUUGCAUCUACUUUGAUGAGCUUAUUUUUUUCCUCAACCAAAUUACAUUUCUUGGAGUUCACCUGAUACAUCAUGCCUACUUACUUUUUUUUUUAGAUGGAGUCUUGCUCUGUCACCCAGGCUGGAGUGCAGUGGUGCAAUCUCGGCUCAUUGCAACCUCUGCCUCCCAGGUUCAAGUGAUUCUCCUGCCUCAGCCCCCCAAGUAGCUGGGAUUACAGGUGCGUGCCACCACGCCCAGCUAAUUUUUGUAUUUUUAGUAGAGACAGGGUUUCGCCAUGUUGGUCAGGCUGGUCUCGAACUCCUGACCUCAAGUGACCCACCUGCCUUGGCCUCCCAAAGCGCUGGGAUUACAGGGGUAAGCCACCAUGUCCAGCCCUGCCUACUUACUUUGAACAAAUUAUUUCAGGCUAAUUUACUAGCUGGAGAGAAAGAGGGAGGGAAGCAGGGAGGAAGCAAAGAUAGAGGGAGAGAAAGAGAGGGAGACAGAGAGGAAGAGGGAGAGGGAGAGGAGAGAGAGAGAAAGAAUGAAUUGUGUUCUCCCAAAAUUAGUAUGUUGAAGUCUUAAUAUCCCAGUACCUCAGACUAUGACUGUAUCUGUAGAUAGGGCUUUUGAAAAGGUGAUUAUGUUUAAAUGAGGCCAUUGGGGUGGGCCCUAAUCCAGUCCAACUGUUGUCAUUGUAAGAAGAAGAGAUUAGGACACAGAGAUACCAGGCAUGUGCGUGCCCAGACAGACAACUAUGUGAAGAGACAACAAUAGGUCAGCCAUCUGCAAGCUGAGGAGAGAGGCCUCAGAGGAAACCAACCCUGCCGGCACCUUGAUCUUGGAGUUCCAGCCUCCAGAACUGUGAGAAAAUGUAUUCCUGUUGUUGAAGCCAUUUCUGUUGUUCUGUGGCAUUUUGUUAUGGCAGCCCUAGCAAACUAAUAUGAUAAUUAACUCUUCCAAGUGCUGUUUCCAUUACAAAGUAUCCCAGAAUUUUAUAUUGGUGAAUCUGUGUUCCUCAGGCCAUGUCUUCCCUGUUGGAAAUGCUGUUAUUAUGUCCCAAGGUGACUUCAAGGAGUGGGUUAGAGGCUGAGACAGAGGGUGUGAGAUCGUCACUACUGUAACCUUGCUUUGUUCAGUAUGAACAUGCUCAGAUAUUCUCUGUUUUGUAUUGGGAGAUCGGGAAAGGAUUUAUUGAAAAAAUGUUUCCAUUAGCAAAUGAAGUUUGAAGGCAACUACCGUCUACAAGAGCAAACAAAUGCAUAAAAUUCAAAUAUUAUUUUGUCCCAACCUCAGUGUCAUGAGGGUCUCUUAUACAGAAUAGUAGAUGAGAAUAAAAUUUGAAUUGAUAAUACUGGAAUAGAGUAGUCAUUAUGCAAUGUAACAAACCUCAAAUAUUCAGUGGUUUAACACUAUAGAUGUUUAUUUACCACUCAUUCAAUGUAUGUGUUCCUUGUUAGCAGUAGUUUUCCUUGUAGUCAUUCAGGAAUCCAGGCAUAUUAGUUAUCUAUUUCUGUGUACCCCAUAAAAACCAUUUAUUAUUGCACACUUUCAGAGGGUCAGUAAUUUGGGAGUGGCUUAGCUGGGGUGUUCUGACCAGAGUCUCUCUUGAGGUUGUAGUCAAGAUGUUGGCUAGGGUUGCCAUCAUCUGAAAGCUUGACUGGGACUGUAUCCACUUUCAAGAUGGCGCACUUACUUGGCUGUUGGCAGGAAGCCUCAAUGACUUAUCAUGUGGUCUUCUCCACAGUGCUGCUUGAGCAUCCACACAACAUGGCGCUAGCUUCCCCCAGAGGCCGCCUGAAAGCUUGUACAAGUGCCUGAGGAAAGCCGGAUUUGGCAGGCUGCAACCACGGUGGAUGACAGCUGAAGGAGAAUUACAGCAGCAGCAAUCAGUUGCUCUGGGGGAAGCCAGCUGUCAUGUGACAAACAGCUCUCCACAGAGGAUUAUGGGGCAUGUAACUGAGGCCUCCAGCCAGCGGCCACGUCAGUGAGUUUGGAAAUAGGUCCUCUAGCCCAGUUGAGCCUUCAGAAGACGACAUGAGGAUUUGCUGCAGUUCUGCCCAACAUCUUGAUUUCAAGCUCAUGAGACAGCCUAAGCCCAAACCACCCAGCUAAGCCAUUCCUAGAUUCCUGACCCAAAGAAACUAUGUGAGAUUAUGUGUCUGGUAUUUUAAGCACUAAGUUCUGGGAUAAUUUGUUUUGAAGCAAUAGUUAAGAAAUACAAUGAGAUAACACUAAACGCAAUGAGAGAGCACUAAACACUAUACUUGGUGUAGAUAAGGUCAUGGAGCCACAGGAAUGCUCAUUUUGUGCUAGUGGAAAAGGAAAUUGGAAAAACCAUUUUGCAAUGUAUAACCAGGUGGCAAUAUCUACAGUUUUAAAGCUAUGCCUAUUAUAUGAUCUCACAGUUCCACUUCUAGGUAUAUAGUGCAUGAUCCUGUGCACAGGAGACAUGCACAUGAAUAUUCAUAGCAGGAAUGUUUGUAGUAGCCUCAAAUUGGAAACCAUCCACAUAUCCAUCAGUAAUGGAAUGGAUAAAUAAGUUUUGGUAGCAGUUGAGCCUUGAACAACACGAGUUUAAACUAUGUGGGUCCACUUAAUAUGCACAUUUUCUGGGUCCACUUAUAUGCAGAUUUUCUUCUACCUCUGCUACCCCUGAGAUGGUAAGACCAUCUUCCUUGAUCCACUUCCACAGUAAAUACAUUUUCUCUUUCUUAUGAUUUUCUUAAUAUCAUUUUCUUUUCCCUAAGCUUACUUGAUUGUAAGUGUACAGUAUGUGAUAAAAAUAACAUGCAAAAUAUGUGUUAAUCAACUGUUAAUGAUCAGUUAAUACUUCUGGUGAACAGUAGGCUGUAAGUAGUUAAGUUUUGGGGAAGUCAAAAGCAUAUGCAGAUAUUUGACUGUGUGGGGUGUUGGUAUCCCUAACCUCGUGCAUUGUUCAAGGGUCAAUUGUAUUUGUACAAUAAAAUGUUAUACAGCAAGGGUUGGAAGAUUUGUUCUGUUAAGGGCCAGAGAGUCAAUAUUUUAGGCUUUAAGGGCUGUACAGUCUCUGUCAUACCUAGUCAACUCUGCUGUUGUAGUAUGUAAGCAGCCACAGAGAAUAGGGAAAUGAAUAAGCAUGGCUAUAUUUCAAUUAUACUUUAUUUACAAAACAGAUGGGGAACUGGAUUUGGCACAGGGGCCACAGUUUUCUGACCAUUACUCUAUAAUAUUGAGAGUAAAAGGGGCCAGGUGCAGUGGCUCACAUCUGUGAUCCCAGCACUUUGGGAGGCUGAGGCAGGAGGAUUGCUUGAGGCCAGUAGAUCAAGACCAGUCUGGGCAACAUGGCGAGACCCCAUGAUAUGGUUUGGAUGUGUGUCCCUCCUCAAAUCUCAUGUCAAAUUGUAAUUCCCAGUGUUGGAGGAGAGGCCUGGUGGGAGGUGAUUGGAUCAUGGGGACAGGCUUUCCCCUUGCUGUUCUUGUGAUAGUGAGUUCUCAUGAGAUCUGGUUGUUUAAAAGUGUGUGGCACCUCCCCCUUCUCUCUCUUCUUCCUGCUCUGGCCACAUAAGACAAGCCUACUUCCACUUCACCUUCUGUCAUGAUUGUAAGUUUCCUGAGGCUUCCCCCACCAUGCUUCCUGUAGAGCCUACAGAACCAUGAGCCAAUAAACCUCUUUUCUUUAUAAAUUACCCAGUCUCAGGUAUUUCUUCAUAGCAGUGUGAGAAUGGACUAAUAUACCCCAUCUCUACAAAAAAAUUUAAAAAAUUAGCCAGGUGUGGUGGUGUGUGCUUGUGGUCCCAGCUACUUGGGAGGCUGAGAUGGGAGGAUCUUUUUAGCCCAGGAUGUGGAGGCUGCAGUGAGCCAUGCUCAGGAUUUUAGUCUGUUCUCACGCUGCUAAUAAAGACAUACCUGAGACUGGGUAAUUUAUAAAGGAAAGAGGUUUGAUGGACUCACAGUUCCACGUGGCUGAGGAGGCCUCACAAUUAUGGUAGAAGGUGAAGGAGGAGCAAAAUCAUGUCUUACAGGGCGGCAGGCAAGAGAGCAUGUGCCAGGAAACUGCCCUUUAUAAAACCAUCAGAUCUCACGAGACUUAUGCACUAUCAUGAGAACAGCACGAGAAAGAUCUGCCUCCAUGAUUCAAUUACCUCCCACAGCGUCCCUCCCAUGACACACGGGAAUUAUGAGAGUUACAAUUCAAGAUGAGAUUUGGGUGGGGACACAGCCAAACCAUAUCACUCAGGUUGGGUGACAGAGCAAGGCCCUGUCUCAAAAAAAUAAACAAGUAAAAUAAUAAAAAAAGAGAGAAUGAAAGAGCCCAGGUACAAACAAGAACAUAGAUAAGUCUUUGAAAAGUAUUGAAUGAAAGAAAUCGGACAUAAAAUAUGUACUCCUAUUUAUAAAAAGUUCAAAAGCAUGAAAAAUGAGACGAUAUUGUUGAGGGAGCAUCUUGAGGAGGUGAAACUAGAAGGCAAAACAAGGAAUUGAGUCUUUAAAAUGCCAGGAUUGUUGUUACUUUGGAGGGUAGAUAGGGGUGUGUAAUUGAGAAGGGGUACCUAAGGGACUCAUGGGGUGCUGGCAAUAACCUUAUUUAUUAAUCUGUUGGGGGUUUCACAGGUGUUUAUACAAUCUGGUAAGUUGUAUAUUUGUGUUUUGUGUUCUUUUCUGUAUUUGCAUUCUAUUUCUCAAUAAAUUGUUGAAGAAAAAUGAAUAUUAAGA